rnacentral:rRNA from 1 species
GAUGAACGCUGGCGGCGUGCCUAGUACAUGCAAGUCGAGCGAACGGACGAGAAGCUUGCUUCUCUGAUGUUAGCGGCGGACGGGUGAGUAACACGUGGAUAACCUACCUAUAAGACUGGGAUAACUUCGGGAAACCGGAGCUAAUACCGGAUGAUAUUUUGAACCGCAUGGUUCAAAAGUGAAAGACGGUCUUGCUGUCACUUAUAGAUGGAUCCGCGCUGCAUUAGCUAGUUGGUAAGGUAACGGCUUACCAAGGCAACGAUGCAUAGCCGACCUGAGAGGGUGAUCGGCCACACUGGAACUGAGACACGGUCCAGACUCCUACGGGAGGCAGCAGUAGGGAAUCUUCCGCAAUGGGCGAAAGCCUGACGGAGCAACGCCGCGUGAGUGAUGAAGGUCUUCGGAUCGUAAAACUCUGUUAUUAGGGAAGAACAUAUGUGUAAGUAACUGUGCACAUCUUGACGGUACCUAAUCAGAAAGCCACGGCUAACUACGUG